rnacentral:rRNA from 1 species
UACGUAGGGUGCGAGCGUUAAUCGGAAUUACUGGGCGUAAAGCGUGCGCAGGCGGCGCGUUAAGUCAGGUGUGAAAGCCCCGAGCUUAACUUGGGAAUUGCGCUUGUGACUGGCGGGCUGGAGUGUGGCAGAGGGAGGUGGAAUUCCACGUGUAGCAGUGAAAUGCGUAGAGAUGUGGAGGAACACCGAUGGCGAAGGCAGCCUCCUGGGCCAGCACUGACGCUCAUGCACGAAAGCGUGGGGAGCAAACAGG